GUGUGUGUAGUGGGGGAGGGACCGAUGCACUGAUGCACGGCCCCACGAUGUAGUGACAAGCACUAUCUCAACCCGCCGCCCUGCAGCCUGUCAACAUUUACUGUGAAGCGACUGGGACACCUUCGGGGCUGACCGCCGGCAUGCUGGCUCAUCAAGCACACGCCCACCAGGGCCCGGGCUCACUUCCGUGACCUACUUUCACCCCUCCAGACUUUCUCACUAUCCUGUAAGAGUGGACUUGUGGUGUGGACCUCUACUGACUAUGAGUCCGUGCUUUGCAGGAGAAGAGGAGGACAACAAAGUAAAAAGUAAAAGACAAGCGGGGGAAGGAUUUCUGCACCCAAAAAACAAGCUUUCUCUCAGUGAUGUGGCACAGGAAGUGAAUUUUGCGGAAACAUCCCCCGAGCUCUUUUCCCCGUGCUUUGGUUAUGGAGCAUGAAGUGAAGAUGGGGCUGUCCGUGUGGGCCAUCGCCGCCAUCGUUUGCAACUCAGCAGUCGGCGUCCUCAUCCUCAUCCUCUUUGUCAUCCUGUACAAGGCUUGCCAGGUGCCAUCCGAACCGACGCCCGUCUUCACGUCCGAACCGGCGAAGACGCAGCCGAAGCCUGAGCACAAAUACCUGCUGGCCGCCUGAUCACGGCAAAGUGAACCUUAGCGGCCCGCCGGACGGUCCGGAAAGGAGCUCCUCUUUUGGCUCGUGUGUAAAUGUCUCAAGGCGACGUCCUCACGUGCGGCAGCUUUGUGCGCAAAUACUUGAAGCUAGACCAAGAGCAACAACAAGCUGUCCCAAUCCUCUUAUCGCUGCAGCGCGUCGCUGGGACUGUCCAUCUGUUCGUCUAUUUGCUCUGCUCCACGCAGGGUGGACCAUGAUAUCCUCCACUCAUUUUGAGAGGAAUACAACGAACUGCGGUGGACAAGGGGAAAGUACACCCUUGAAUGAUGUCGACAGAAAAAUCACACAAGGGUUAAAAAAAAAAAAA